rnacentral:lncRNA from 1 species
ACGGAACGUGAUUGUGGGAGAGAUGGGAAGGGAUCUCUCCUGAGCAGUUACGAUCUUUUGACUAUAAAGAGAGAAGUUUGGAGCUUGAUAGAGAACACACAAUUUCAUCAUCUCUUCUUCUUUCUCUAAGUUUCUGAUUUUUCAAAUUGAGAGUUUCAUCUCUCCUGGAUUGAGUGCACAGUUCAGUGAGAGCAGAGUAAACCCUGGAGUGAUCCGUCUUGGUUAUCUUGCACCCGAGAUUAGGCGGUUUUUCGCUCAAGUGCAGUAGAUCUUUCUACGGCUCUGCAACUUGUUUUCUUUUGUGUUCUGGUUUCUGAAUUCUUUAAAGUAUUACUAA